rnacentral:antisense_RNA from 1 species
AUAUUUUUCUCAUAUCUCCCAUGCAAAUGAUACAAUACUGUAG